rnacentral:rRNA from 1 species
GAUGAACGCUAGCGGCAGGCCUAAUACAUGCAAGUCGAACGGUGUCUUCGGACAUAGUGGCGCACGGGUGCGUAACACGUAUGCAACCUACCUUACAUUGGGGGAUAGCCUUUCGAAAGGGAGAUUAAUACCGCAUAAGACAGUAGCUGGGCAUCCAGCAGCUGUUAAAGAUUUAUCGAUGUAAGCUGGGCAUGCGUCCAAUUAGCUAGUUGGUGAGGUAACGGCUCACCAAGGCAAUGAUUGGUAGGGGAACUGAGAGGUCAAUCCCCCACACAGGCACAGAGAUACGGGCCAGACUCCUACGGGAGGCAGCAGUAGGGAAUAUUGGGCAAUGGACGCAAGUCUGACCCAGCCAUGCCGCGUGCAGGAUGAAGGCGUUAUGCGUUGUAAACUGCUUUUAUACAGGAAGAAACGACUCUUGCGAGAGGCAUUGACGGUACUGUAUGAAUAAGCACCGGCUAACUCCGUGCCAGCAGCCGCGGUAAUAC